rnacentral:rRNA from 1 species
ACAUGCAAGUCGAACGAAGUAGCAAUACUUAGUGGCAGACGGGUGAGUAACAUGUAGGUAUCUGCCCUUUGGCCUGGAAUAACACGAGGAAACUUGUGCUAAUACCGGAUAAGUCUUAACGGAGAAAGCUUUAUGCACCAUUGGAUGAGCCUGCACUUGAUUAGUUUGUUGGUGGGGUAAUGGCCUACCAAGACUGUGAUCAAUAGCUGAUUUGAGAGGAUGAUCAGCCACAUUGGGACUGAGACACGGCCCAAACUCCUACGGGAGGCAGCAGUGGGGAAUCUUGCACAAUGGAGGAAACUCUGAUGCAGCGAUGCCGCGUGAGUGAAGAAGGCCUUUGGGUUGUAAAGCUCUUUCGUCGGGGAAGAAAAUGACUGUACCCGAAUAAGAAGGUCCGGCUAACUUCGUGCCAGCAGCCGCGGUAAUACGAAGGGACCUAGCGUAGUUCGGAAUUACUGGGCUUAAAGAGUUCGUAGGUGGUUGAAAAAGUUGGUGGUGAAAUCCCAGAGCUUAACUCUGGAACUGCCAUCAAAACUUUUCAGCUAGAGUAUGAUAGAGGAAAGCAGAAUUUCUAGUGUAGAGGUGAAAUUCGUAGAUAUUAGAAAGAAUACCAAUUGCGAAGGCAGCUUUCUGGAUCAUUACUGACACUGAGGAACGAAAGCAUGGGUAGCGAAGAGGAUUAGAUACCCUCGUAGUCCAUGCCGUAAACGAUGUGUGUUAGACGUUGGAAAUUUAUUUUCAGUGUCGCAGCGAAAGCGAUAAACACACCGCCUGGGGAGUACGACCG